UACGGAGGAUGCGAGCGUUAUCCGGAUUUAUUGGGUUUAAAGGGUGCGUAGGCGGAUUAAUAAGUCAGUGGUGAAAACCUGCAGCUUAACUGUGGAACUGCCGUUGAUACUGUUAGUCUUGAGUAUGGUCAAGGUAGGCGGAAUGUGUAAUGUAGCGGUGAAAUGCUUAGAUAUUACACAGAACACCGAUUGCGAAGGCAGCUUACUGGGCCAUAACUGACGCUGAUGCACGAAAGCGUGGGGAUCGAACAGGAUUAGAAACCGAGUAGUCC
rnacentral:rRNA from 1 species